UUUUAAUUUUGAUGCUCCCAAUGUUUUUAUCAAGAUUGUUUCGACCCCUACCAUAAUUUCGACCUUCAUUGACCAAAGUAGUUUGGUCAUCAAAUUCUUCCUCCAGUUCCUCAUCAAAAGGUGGUGUUGGAAGUCUUCUUGCCCCUGGAUUGGUUUGGGAAGCUUCCCCUCUCAUGGAAUUUAACUCACGUUGUUGUUUCUCUAGUUUCUCAUUCAUGUUGCCAAUAGCUAGUUGAAUCCUCUCAAAUUGUUGUUGCAUUGCUUUGAGGAUGAAUUUUUGAUCGUUUGAUGUUCUCACUCCCUUGUGGCUCCAUCUUCGAAUCUGAAAUUUUAAUGACAAACAAAAUAGAUUACAACCUCACAAAUCACUCCCUCACGUGCUUACUCUCGUAGUAUGGGCACUUGUGUUUCACUCAAUUUUUGCUUUUAUCCUCUUUUAAGCUCAAACUCUCUUGCUUUUUAACACUCAAGAAAUCUUUUAUAACUUUAUACAAAAUGGCCAAUUCAAACAACAAUUAAUUAUCACUAUGUACUCAAUUUUAAAUAGAGAUAACAAAGAAUU
rnacentral:lncRNA from 1 species